GCGGGUGUAGCUCAAUUGGUAGAGCACCACCUUGCCAAGGUGGAUGUCGUCGGUUCGAACCCGAUCACCCGCUCCA
rnacentral:tRNA from 1 species